CACGACCAUUACUCUGAAAAACAGAGAGAAAAUAAAACCAAAAACCAUUUCUUGGCUGGUUUGAAGAAAUUCUAAGGAGAUCCAAGUGAAAUCAAAACCAAAGAAGUGGAUUAAGCUUAGUUCUAGCCUUUUUUAUGAUAUUUCUUGGUGGUUUCCAAGUGGUUUGAGGUUUAGAAAAGCUAGAAGAGAUUGUUUUCGCCGAAAAGUUGCUCGGAUAAUCACAUCAACACCUAAGACACCACUUGUUACACGGUGAAAUAUAUUUUGGACAGAAGGUAGAGAAAGAAAUGAGUGAAUGACAUAAGGAGAACUGAAGCAUGGUCCUGACCCUGAUUUGUACUUAUGAACAUAUCGACCUUUUUGUGGGUUAUUUCAGUUAUCAGUGUGAUGUUUGUAAUAAAGUGUGAAGUUAUGUUUUGAAAACAAAUUGGGUUAUUUAAUACUUAA